rnacentral:rRNA from 1 species
AUGUUGCGAUGCUUCAAAUACAAUGGGAAUUUCCGCGAGCCGUUGGCGCUAAAACCACAAGCCGCAAACCUCACGCGAGUUGUCAUGGAGUACUUCUCCCCUGACAUGUAUUACUACAUAGAGAACAACACAUGCGCCUGCUUCUGGCAAUGUGCUGCGAGCUUCAGCAACGCCAGGGUCUUGAGGCUGAAAACCAACCAGCUCGAGCACCUCAGGCCGGGCAGCGACACGAACGGGCUCCAGCAGAACAAGGUAGUGUUCCGCGACCUCGAGCGCCUCGAGCUGGAGGCGCAGUACAAGCCAGGACGGAGCAAGCACACCGGAGCGGCCAUGGCGCACCUCCUCCAUUGCUGCCCUGUGAUUCAUCAACUCCGGCUCAACCUGAGCACGAGCACGACGUUGGAGAUCAAAUCCUACGGAGACGAUGGGUGCUUUGAACAAGACGUCUUCGCGGAAAAAGACCAGCUGGAUUUCGACAAGUCUGUAAAUCAUUUCUUGCGCCGCAGAUUCAAGAACCCGACGAUGUCGUGCGAGGUGCCUGAUUAUAUCCAUGGCUUGACUGGACAGUCGUUCACCUGCCUGCAGAGUAACCUGAGGUGCGUGAGCUUGCGAUUCCGGAGGGACGACUCCAACCGUUUUGGUGUGCGAUUGGCCAAAUUCUUGGCGGACAACGCCAUGGUUCUUGAAGAGAUGCAUAUCGACGACGGCAACCAGAAAAUAUGGGAGCACAUCAAUCACGUGGUUGGCAGAUCGGUUGCUGGUUCAGGGUUGGGCUUUGCAGUCUUACCCCUUGAAACACGAAACUGA